rnacentral:lncRNA from 1 species
AAUGAUUUGGGUUUUAUAUAAUAUAAUUAGAGCUAGCAAUUUUGGCUAGUUCGUACAAUUGGCAUAACAUCUAUAGUUGAAAAUUUGAUAUUUUUUGGAUUAUUGGAUGUACUGAGUGUAUAUUAAAAUUUUGUGAUAAUCUAACAGUGCGGUUUAGAAAUAUCUAGUUUUUAGCACAAGAGGAUUUCAAAAGGUGGCAAUUUGAGGUUGAGUAGGGUUUCUAUGAUAUUUCAAGAUCUAUUAGUCAGAUUAAGGUGAAAAUUGGCAUGGUGUUGAAAGACUUAAAGAUCAAGCUACACACCAAUUUUGAAACAAAGUUAACGAUUGGAGAAGGAAAAAUCAUUGUUGGGAUUUUUGCUUCACUUUUUAAGUUGGCGGUCGAAUGACAUUGGUGCAAUUUUUGGAGGUUUUCUUACAAUUUUUAAGUUGGAUUAGGCUAAAAAUUCUUGAGCAUUUAGAAGACUUACAUUGACAAUUA